ensembl:lncRNA
UUUUUUUUUUUUUUCCUGAGACAGGGUCUUGCCUGUUGCCCAGGCUGGAGUGCCGUGGCUCAUUCACAGCUCACUGCAGCCUCGACCUCCUGGGCUUAAGUGAUCCUCCCACCUCAGCUUCCCCAGUAGCUGGAACUACAGGUGCGUGCCACUGCACCCAGCUAGCUUCUUCAAUUUUUUGUAGAGACCAGGUCUCACUGUGUUUCCCAGGCUGGCCUCAAACUCCUGAGCUCAAGUGAUCCUCCCACCUGGGCCUCCCAAAGUGCUAGGAGUACAGACAAGAGCCACCAUGCCUGGCCCUAGCUUUCAAAUAGUUAAAUAUUUGAAGCAAAAACUGAAAAUAUUUGCGAAAGGAAAAGGAAAACUUUUGGUUCCUUGUGUCACCAGAAUACAUAGAAUAGAGGAGCUAAUUAUAGAAAGAACAGCACAGCAGUUAAGCAUGUAGUCUGUGGAGCCACAUGCCUGGGUUCAAAUCCUAGCUCUCAUGCUCUCUAGCUGUGCAGCUUCAUCAGGUUACCUCACCUUUCUGUGCACUGGUUCCCUCACCUGUAAAAUGGAGAUAAUGAUAGCACCUGCUUCAUGGGGUUGUUAGGAGAGCUAAAUGAGUUUAUACACACAAAGCACAUGGAACAACAACCAUUUUGUGUUUGCUGUGAUUGUUAUAGCCUAUUUUUCCCUUCUAGAGAAAGAGGAUUCUGUCUGUUUUCGUCCCAGCCAUAUCUCCAGUCCUUAUCACACAGCCUGCCAUAAUAGGGCUUCUCCACAAAUGUUUAUUGUUGUUGUUGUUUUUUAAUGAGAUAAUUGGUAAAAUGAAUGUCCAGCAUAUGUGUGUGUGCUGCUCAAAAGAUUCAUUGAAUCUGAAGAUAAAAACAUUAAUUUUGCUCACAAAUCAUGUUAUAUCAUGCUUUAAAAAAAAAAAAUGUGGUUAGCCACUAUAAAAUCAACUAAAAAUCUCUCUCUUUUUUUUUUUGAGAUGGAGUCUCAUUCUGUCGCCCAGGCUGGAGUGUAGUGGUGUGAUCUUGUCACACUGCAACCUCUGCUUCCCGAGUUCAAGCGAUUCUCAUGCCUCAGCCUCCCAAGAAACUGGAAUUACAGGCACGCACGUGCCAACACGCCUGGCUAAUUUUCGUAUUUUUAGUAGAGAUGGGGUUUCGCCAUGUUGGCCAAGCUGGCCUCCAACUCCUGGCCUCAAGUAAUUCUCCCACCUCAGCCUCCCAAAGUGCUGGGAUUAUAGAUGUGAGCCACUGCACCUGGCACUGAAAGUACUUUUAAACAUACGGUUGACAGUUAAGCCUUAAAUUUUAUGUAUAUCGUUGUCCAAAUAAUAUUGACCUUAGGUUAGAAGAAAACUAUGUGAAAAUAAAAAUUGUUAAGUAUUAAGAUUAUAGGAUUGCAGUGAUUUUACCCUUUUAUUUGGUUUUCUUCAUGUAUUAUUAUACCAUCAUUGUUUACAUCAUUCUUUCUCUUCUGAUAUUAAACUGAGAACAGCUUCAUCUAUUCUUGAGAAGGGGAAAGAAAAGACUGGAAAUAGUCUAACAGUUGAACUGUACGAAAUAGUUUAAAGUUGCUGUUUUAACAGCUAUAAAUUUUUCAUAGAAUACCUCCAGCCACUCC